rnacentral:pre_miRNA from 1 species
AAUAAGUGCAGUUUUGCACUAUUCACGUUCAACGUUUGACCGUCCGUCUUAUUUGAAAAAUUUAUGAAAAAAUUAAAAACAUAAAGUACUAUUCAUAUUUUAUCAUCUAAUAGCAAUAAAAAUACUAAUCAUAAAAAAUUUUCAAAUAAGACGGAUGGUCAAACGUUGAACGUGAAUAGUGCAAAACUGCACUUAUU